rnacentral:rRNA from 1 species
CCUACGGGAGGCAGCAGUGGGGAAUAUUGCGCAAUGGGCGAAAGCCUGACGCAGCGACGCCGCGUGAGGGAUGAAGGUCUUCGGAGCGUAAACCUCUGUCAGCAGGGAAGAACAGUCACUGUGCUAAUCAGCAGUGAAUUGACGGUACCUGCAAAGGAAGCACCGGCUAACUCCGUGCCAGCAGCCGCGGUAAUACGGAGGGUGCGAGCGUGAAUCGGAUUUACUGGGUGUAAAGCGCUCGUAGGCGGUAGGUCAAGUCAAGGGUGAAAUCCCCGGGCUCAACGGGGGAACUGCAUUUGAAACUGGCAAACUUGAGUGCGGGAGAGGAUAGCGGAAUUCGAGGUGUAGGAGUGAAAUCCGUAGAUAUCUGGAGGAACAUCAGUGGCGAAGGCGACUAUCUGGAACAUAACUGACGCUGAGGAGCGAAAGCGUGGGUAGCAAACAGGAUUAGAUACCCGGGUAGUC